rnacentral:lncRNA from 1 species
UGGCCAUGGAGCUGGUGGUGAUGGCCGCUGUGAUGUGUUUGGCCAGGUCUCCACUGCCCAGGCAAAGCUGCAGUACCUGAGGAUCCUGAACGAGCUGCCCACCUUCGCCGGGGUCCUCUUCAGCACUGUGGGACUGGAGGAAAGCCACCAAGCCAAACAGGAGAACAGAGGACCUGCAUAGGCUCCUCGCUGCCUGCCUCACCUCUCCAUCUCCAUCUCUUGCUCCACCUCCCAUCCAGGGGACUCCAUGACGAGAAGCAGCCAGCCACCACACUGCUGGUGGGCCCCCGGCAUGGCAUCAGCCACGUCAUCGACCUGAAGACCAACCUCACCACCGUGCUGUCGGAGUUCAGCAAGGUCAGCAAGAUCCAGCUGUUCCGGGAGAACCAGGGGGUGGCCCGGGUGGAGACCAGCAUCCUGGAUGCCAAGCCACUGGUGCUGCUGAUGGAGUGGCCCGAAGCCACCAACUUCGCCUGCCUGAUUGCAGGUUACUGCCGUCUCCUGGUGGACUCCAAGAAGAUGAUUUUCUCCAGGCCGCCCAGCCAGCCCCCGCCACCUCAGAUUAUCAAG